CACGCAGCUGGCGGGUCUCUCAUUCAUUUGAGCUCCGUGCGGUCGCUCAGUCCUCGCUGGACCUUUAGUGAACCCCAGGUCCCAGAGCCUAAGCGAAAUCCACUGUGUGAAAACUACUCUUUCAGCUUAACCCAGGGUUUCAACCACAGA